UAGGCGGACGGGUGAGUAACGCGUGGAAAACCUGCCGUAUACUGGGGGAGUAACACUUAGAAAUAGGUGCUAAUACCGCAUAAGCGCACAGCUUCGCAUGAAGCGGUGUGAAAGACUCUGGUGGUAUACGAUGGUUCCGCGUCUGAUUAGCUAGUUGGUGGGGUAAUGGCCUACCAAGGCAACGAUCAGUAGCCGGCCUGAGAGGGUGAACGGCCACAUUGGGACUGAGACACGGCCCAAACUCCUACGGAAGGCAGCAG
rnacentral:rRNA from 1 species